GCAAGUCGUGGGGCAGCGAGGAAGACUUCGGUUUUCUGUAGGCGACCGGCGCACGGGUGCGUAACACAUAUGAAACUUGUCCUUAACUUAGGAAUAGCAAUUGGAGACUUUUGGUAAUACCUAAUGACAUCAAUUUUUCGCAUGGAAUGAUUGAUUAAAGCUUUCGAGCGGUUAAGGAUGGGCAUGUGUCUGAUUAGCUUGUUGGUAAGGUAACGGCUUACCAAGGCAACGAUCAGUAGGGGGCCUGAGAGGGUGACC
rnacentral:rRNA from 1 species